rnacentral:rRNA from 1 species
CGGGUGAGUAACGCGUGAGGAACCUGCCUCAAAGAGGGGGACAACAGUUGGAAACGACUGCUAAUACCGCAUAAGCCCACGACCCGGCAUCGGGAAGAGGGAAAAGGAGCAAUCCGCUUUGAGAUGGCCUCGCGUCCGAUUAGCUAGUUGGUGAGGUAAAGGCUCACCAAGCCGACGAUCUCUAGCUGGUCUGAGAGGAUGACCAGCCACACUGGGACUGAGACACGGCCCAA